ensembl:rRNA 5S_rRNA 5S ribosomal RNA
GCAACCAUCAUAUCAAAAGCUGAUCUCACCUGGUCUCUGAAGCUAAGCAGGGCAGGGCCUGGUCACUGGGAUGGGAGACCGCAGGGAAUCCCAGGUGCC